GGCAAGAUGGCCGAGCGGUCUAAGGCGCCAGGUUAAGGUUUACCUUGACAGACAACUCCCCCGAGUUUCCUGGUCAUCGUUUGAUGGCGUGGGUUCGAAUCCCACUCUUGUCA